rnacentral:rRNA from 1 species
AACACGUGAAGAAUCUGCCUUCCACUUUGGGAUAACACCGUUGAAACCGGUGCUAAUACCGAAUAUUGAAAUAUAAGUGGCAUCACUGAAUUUUGAAAGAAUUUCGGUGGAGGAUGACAUCGCGGCCUAUCAGCUUGUUGGUGAGGUAAUGGCUCACCAAGGCUACGACGGGUAUCCGGCCUGAGAGGGCGACCGGACACACUGGGACUGAGACACGGCCCAGACUCCUACGGGAGGCAGCAGUGGGGAAUAUUGGGCAAUGGACGAAAGUCUGACCCAGCGACGCCGCGUGAGGGAUGAAGGCCUUCGGGUUGUAAACCUCUUUCAGUAGGGAAGAAGCGAAAGUGACGGUACCUAAAGAAGAAGCACCGGCUAACUAUGUACCAGCAGCCGCGGUAAUACAUAGGGUGCAAGCGUUGCCCGGAAUUAUUGGGCGUAAAGAGCUCGUAGGUGGUUUGUUGCGUCGGGUGUGAAAUUCAGGGGCUCAACCCCUGACCUGCACUCGAUACGGGCAGACUGGAGUUUGGUAGGGGAGACUGGAAUUCCUGGUGUAGCGGUGGAAUGCGCAGAUAUCAGGAGGAACACCAAUGGCGAAGGCAGGUCUCUGGGCCAAUACUGACACUGAGGAGCGAAAGCGCGGGGAGCGAACAGGAUUAGAUACCCUGGUAGUCCGCGCCGUAAACGAUGGGCGCUAGUUGUGGGGACCUUCCACGGUUUCUGCGACGCAGCUAACGCAUUAAGCGCCCCGCCUGGGGAGUACGAUCGCAAGA